rnacentral:tRNA from 1 species
UAGCUCAGUGGGAGAGCGCCUGCCUCACACGCAGGAGGUCCCAGGUUCAAGUCCUGGUUCGCCCA